CAGCACCUCAAGUGGUCAGGAGGAUUAUUUGGCCUAAAGCGUCCGUAGCCGGCCGAGUAAGUCCCCCGUUAAAUCCAGCGUCUCAAGCGUUGGGCUGCGGGAGAUACUACUUGGCUAGAGAGUGGGAGAGGUCAGCGGUAUUCUGGGGGUAGGGGCGAAAUCCUUUGAUCCCCGGAGGACCACCAGUGGCGAAGGCUGCUGACUAGAACACGUCUGACGGUCAGGGACGAAAGCUGGGGUAGCGAACCGGAUUAGAUACCCGAGUAGUCC
rnacentral:rRNA from 1 species